rnacentral:rRNA from 1 species
UACGUAGGGUGCAAGCGUUAAUCGGAAUUACUGGGCGUAAAGCGUGCGCAGGCGGUUUCGCAAGUCAGAUGUGAAAUCCCCGGGCUCAACCUGGGAACUGCAUUUGAAACUACGGAGCUAGAGUGUGUCAGAGGGGGGUAGAAUUCCACGUGUAGCAGUGAAAUGCGUAGAGAUGUGGAGGAAUACCGAUGGCGAAGGCAGCCCCCUGGGAUGACACUGACGCUCAUGCACGAAAGCGUGGGGAGCAAACAGG